UACGGAGGAUGCAAGCGUUAUCCGGAAUGAUUGGGCGUAAAGCGUCCGCAGGUGGCUGUGUAAGUCUGCUGUCAAAGAGCGAAGCUCAACUUCGUAAAGGCAGUGGAAACUACACGGCUAGAGUACGUUCGGGGCAGAGGGAAUUCCUGGUGUAGCGGUGAAAUGCGUAGAGAUCAGGAAGAACACCGGUGGCGAAGGCGCUCUGCUAGGCCGUAACUGACACUGAGGGACGAAAGCUAGGGGAGCGAAUGGG
rnacentral:rRNA from 1 species